GACGAACGCUGGCGGCGUGCUUAACACAUGCAAGUCGAACGGAAAGGCCCUGCUCUUGUGGGGUGCUCGAGUGGCGAACGGGUGAGUAACACGUGAGUAACCUGCCCUUGACCUUGGGAUAACUUCAGGAAACUGGGGCUAAUAUCGGAUAGGAGCUCCUGCUGCAUGGUGGGGGUUGGAAAGGUUCGGCGGUUGGGGAUGGACGCGCGGCUCAUCAGCUUGUUGGUGGGGUAGUGGCUUACCAAGGCUUUGACGGGUAGCCGGCCUGAGAGGGUUACCGGCCACAUUGGGACUGAGAUAGGGGCCAGACGCCGACGGUAGGGAGCAGUGGGGAAUAGUGCACUAUGGGGGGGAGCCGGAUGCGACGACGCCGCGUGCGGGGUGAAGGCCUUCGGGUUGUGAACCGCUUUCGCCUGUGACGAAGCGUGGGUGACGGUAAUGGGUAAAGAAGCACCGGCUAACUACGUG
rnacentral:rRNA from 1 species